rnacentral:lncRNA from 1 species
CUUCAAUCCAUCCAUAUUCUUUACACACCCUUUCUACCCUUCUUCCUCUAGAAAUAUUAAUGGGACCUUCUGCUGCUGUUUACUCAAAAGUAUCCUCAAGUCUCCCAAACAUUAUGGGUAGGAGAAAUCUCCAGGUGACAACAUUUCAUCCUCUCCAGUUACCUUAGACGUCCUCUCCAGACAUGGUAUCUGAGAUUUCUCAAGCUCCAUUGUGAAAAACAGGUGAAUUUUUUUGCCCUUGCUAAGGCCACAGUCUAACAACUCCAAAACUGCUUCCGUAGCUAGGACUUGGCUGGCAGAAAUCUAAGUAUAUCAGUAACUCAGUUUUCCAUCCAUAGCCACAACUGCCUUUCCCCACAUGAUCUCCACUCUUCCACUGGUUCCUCAGCUAAAGUUCAUAUUUGACUCUAACCCAUGCCCACUCCUUCAUUUCAAACCUUGUUUCUUCCUAGACAUCCUGCCUCUCCCCCACUGUCUUUAUUGCUUCAGUCUUCCCCUGCCUUAUUUGCUCUUGUCCUUCUCCUGACUACCCAUCCUAUCCCCUUUCUUCCCUAUUUGCUUUUUCAGUCUUCCAAUGCAUCUUCCUCGGUCGGAGUUGGACAUCUCUGCAGUCUCUGGUGGUUCAGUCAAAUGGCUUGCAUCUUCUCUGAGUUGCCCAAGGCAGGAGCUUGCUCUCCUUUGCUACUACCCGUUCAGGUAUUGGCAUGGCUGGUGGCCCUCAGCUCCGGGGUCCUUCUGAGAAGACUUUCCAAGCUCAGACUGCCAGGCCAGCAUGACAGAUCCACUGCACAGAGCAACAAGCUUCUCUGAAUGUCCUGGCAUUGCACACCGUGGACAGUCAAGCUUAAGGCUUUUAGUUUAUGCUGAUUCAGACACCUCUGGUACAGUAAAACAUAGCCUACAUCUGGAUAUUGUCCAAACCCUUCAGAGGCUGUGCUCUGAACCUAAGAUAUGUACAGUAUAUUGUUUCAUAUGAACAAGUACAUGAUUAAAUUUAAUGGAGAAGUUGACAUGAAUGAAAGGUUUUAUUUUAAACAGCAUGAGAUUUUGACUAUGUAGCUGAAGCUCUUUCCUGUAAAAGUCAAGACUGGCUACUACUCAUGUUGCACUGCUGAAGCAAAAUCACUGCAUGGACAGACGAUGCCAUCCUAUCUACGGUAACUAGAGUGGUUUGAAAGCUAAGCCUGGAAAUAAAUACCCUAUACCUCCACA